rnacentral:sRNA from 1 species
GUUAAGCGAAACGGGAAAGUGGAGACCGCGCCGGCGUUGCCUAGAGAACGCCUGGACUCAGAGUAGCAAAAUGGGCCUCUCUCCAACUCCCCUCCUCCCCCAGCACAAGGCAAAGGGCACCCCUUGCUGUGAGUUUGGGGGCACCGGCUGUCGGGGGCCGACCCAGAACUUUGCGGGGUCCCCUGAGGGACCCGUGGCGGGACCGGCCCCGGGUUCGUCAAAUUCCGCCGAUGCUUUCAGGAGGCUGAUUAAACAAAGGACAAGAUUGGAGUGGGAAAUGAGAGGCUCUUAAAAGUGGAAGCUUUUUGUUUGUCCAUUUACAAGAAAUUGGACAAUGAAUCACUUCAGGAAGAUGGAGGUCAUCAACCUCACCACCCUACCUGUGAUACCAGUGGAUGAGCACCUGGCUGUCUCGCUUGUCGCACGGAAUACAAUGGUGAAGACUGUGAGGAAGGAGUUAGAGAACAGUCCACCCUGUAUCCUUCUGGUGGUGUCACCUACAAUCAGACCAAAUACACCUAACUUGAGUCAUGCCACAGAGAUCUAAUCAGUGCUCAG